AACCGGGCUAAAAGGUAAAACGUGAUAACACCCGAACCCAUUUCGACCUCGAACAGUGAAAUCGUUUUACGCCAUAUGUACUGAUUUGUGAAUUUUGGGAGACAUGGGGGACCCGGUA
rnacentral:rRNA from 1 species